UGAGCCUCAGAAACUCCAGCUCAUGCCUUCCUGGCUGGCUUCUGUGAGCCCUGAGUCUAGCGGAGCUGCACCCUUCCCCACCUACCUGAGGAUAUUCUAAACCACUCAAGAAGGGCAGGAGCAGUGGGUGAUUAGAAGCCAAUUAAAGAUACAGCCCAGCUCCUCACCAUCUUACCUAUUACCACCUGUGCAAAGAUCACCUGCUGGCACAGGGGUGGGGGGAGGGGGUGGACUAGGAGGGCAAUUUCCGGUUACUGCCCCAGAGAGGGGGCUGUGGCUGUCUUGCCGCCUGUGCCUGGCAGAGGAGGCCAGUGACAGGAGCCACGUCUUAGGGCAAUGACCAGGUGAGGGCUUCAGGCCACCUUGGGGCCCUGAAUCUGGAAUCAAGAGACACGGAGAAUGAGGACCUGUUGUGGGGUCCUCUGUGGACUGAAAACUUUUCUUCACAGCCAGAAAAAUUGCCAGUCGGGAGGGAGAGCGCACUUCGUCUUGGGCCCAACCUCUCUUUGUUCCUGCCCUUCCGGAGUGGCUGGGUGUUCUGCAGCACAGACCUCAGUUCUACCAGGCUGUGAUCUGCCAGCGUUUUAUGAGAGCUGACGUCAAACCAGGAAGGAGGCACCCAUAGCAUCUGCAAAUGCAGGGGCUCAAGCUGUGGAUCUUGGCGUUCCACCCAGCCUCCACCAAAUAGCCCCAAAGCCAUGUCCACAUACCUCUCAGCCUGUCAGACCACUUGGCCAAUGAAAUGGAGACAUGUUCUUUAAGAGAGGCGGGAAAUAAUGUUCAGUACGUUUGGAGCUAUUAUUCAGUAGCAGAACUAAAGAAAACGAUGGAUGCCUUUGAUGCCUGGGAAGGAAAAGGUGUUAGCUACUGGUGGGUGCCUCACGAGCUGAUGGAGUGUUGGACGCUGGGAGAGCGGCCUAUACUUGGAAGCCUAUGUCACAUGGCCCCAAUGCGAAAGAGCCGACUGACGGCCUUCAAUGAAGAGGAGGAAGACAGUGUGAAUGCUUUACUCCCAAACUCUAGCAAAUCAACGGGAAAUGAGAUCAGAGACAGUGGUGGGGCCAAGUCUGCUGCAAGCAGCUGAAGCUGGUCGACCCUUUCUGAGGGCGCUCCCACCAGCCUCUACACAGAGUCCUUUCUCAGAGCUGAGCAACAUGGGACUGCUAAGUACCAGGACCAUCCGAAGAACCAAAAUGAGUGAUCCAAGUAAGAGAACUGGCCGUGUCUAUGUGGACAUUCCUGAGUGAGGAGCAAACACAGCAAAUUUUCUCAAUUUUGGUGAACAUGCAAAUUACCUUAGAAACUUAAAAAAUACCAAGCCCUGGAUGUCAUCUUCGGAGAUUCGACUUAACUGGUUUUGAGUGGGGCCAGGUGAGUCCAAUAUGCAGCCAUUGGCCCUGAGAGUUACAUAACCCUCUGGCUGCUACUUGGCAUCUCUGUGGGAGGCUGAACCACAUCUGCGCGGCUUCUGGUACAUGCUGUGUCUUUGAUGUCUGUUGUGUCAGCCCCAGGAGAAAGGACAAAGGAGAAUGCUACUCUUGGUGUGUUUCUGGGUGGGGUAUUUCAGGCAGGCCUAGAUUUCGAAGCUUCGGGGUGAAGGAUGAAUUUUCUGCUGUCAUUUCCUUCUGUCUCCAGCUCCAUCAGGGUCUUUAUGACCCAGGAUGAGGUUAUUAUGUGCUGACCCUCACUAGUUAGUCCUGCAUGCCUCUCAGUGGGUGGUGAGUAUCUGGGGCUUGGGGUCAUCUGGGGGUAGAGGGACAUGGCAGCAGGUUGCGUGGAAUCUUGUUCCUGCCAUGGUUCUGAGCCCUCAGAGUGGGUAUUCACAACUUGGACUUGCUCUUCUGCUUCUGGUCUGAGAGGAGGUGAGACCAGCAUGAAGAGUGAUAAAAAAAACUAGUGACCAGAAAGAUGACUAGUGACUAAACCAUGAGAGCAGUCCCAGAGGUGUGAAGAAGAGGGAGGGGGAUGGUGGGCCCAUGCAGUCAUGGAAGGCACCACGGAGGAGGUGAGACUUGAGUUCAGAAGAAAUUUUUUUUCUUUUUGCUUUUUCUAGGGCCGCACCCACAGCAUAUGGAAGUUCCCAGGCUAGGCGUCGAAUCAGAGCUGUAGCCGCCGGCCUACACCAGAGCCACAGCAACACAGGAUCCGAGCCACGUCUGCGAUCUACACUACAGCUCACGGCAACGCUGAAUCCUUAACCUACUGAGCAAGGGCAGGGAUCGAACCCACAACCUCAUGGUUCCUAGU
rnacentral:lncRNA from 1 species